rnacentral:rRNA from 1 species
UACGUAGGGUGCGAGCGUUAAUCGGAAUUACUGGGCGUAAAGCGUGCGUAGGCGGUUCCUCAAGUCCGUUGUGAAAGCCCCGGGCUCAACCUGGGAAUGGCAGUGGAAACUAGGGGACUGGAAUCUGGCAGAGGGGGGUGGAAUUCCACGUGUAGCAGUGGAAUGCGUAGAGAUGUGGAGGAACACCGAUGGCGAAGGCAGCCCCCUGGGCUGAGAUUGACGCUCAGGCACGAAAGCGUGGGGAGCAAACAGG